UACGAAGGGUGCAAGCGUUAAUCGGAAUUACCGGGCGUAAAGGGUGCGUGGGCGGUUGUUUAAGUCUGUCGUGAAAUCCCCGGGCUCAACCUGGGAAUGGCGAUGGAUACUGGACAGCUAGAGUGUGUCAGAGGAUGGUGGAAUUCCCGGUGUAGCGGUGAAAUGCGUAGAGAUCGGGAGGAACAUCAGUGGCGAAGGCGGCCAUCUGGGACAACACUGACGCUGAAGCACGAAAGCGUGGGGAGCAAACAGG
rnacentral:rRNA from 1 species